rnacentral:rRNA from 1 species
UACGGGGGGGGCAAGCGUUGUUCGGAAUUACUGGGCGUAAAGGGCUCGUAGGUGGCCAACUAAGUCAGACGUGAAAUCCCUCAGCUUAACUGGGGAACUGCGUCUGAUACUGGAUGGCUUGAGUUUGGGAGAGGGAUGCGGAAUUCCAGGUGUAGCGGUGAAAUGCGCAGAUAUCAGGAGGAACACCGGUGGCGAAGGCGGUUCUCUGGGCAUUACCUGACGCUGAGGAGCGAAAGUGUGGGGAGCGAACAGG